UCCAGACUCCUACGGGAGGCAGCAGUGGGGGAUAUUGCACAAUGGGGGGAACCCUGAUGCAGCGACGCCGCGUGAGGGAAGACGGUUUUCGGAUUGUAAACCUCUGUCUUUAGGGACGAAACAAAUGACGGUACCUAAAGAGGAAGCCACAGCUAACUACGUGCCAGCAGCCGCGGUAAUACGUAGGAUGCGAGCGUUAUCCGGAUUUAUUGGGUUUAAAGGGUGCGUAGGCGGACGCUUAAGUCAGCGGUAAAAUGGCGGGGCUCAACCUCGGCGAGCCGUUGAAACUGGGUGCCUUGAGUGAGCGAGAAGUAUGCGGAAUGCGUGGUGUAGCGGUGAAAUGCAUAGAUAUCACGCAGAACUCCGAUUGCGAAGGCAGCAUACCGGCGCUCAACUGACGCUCAUGCACGAAAGUGUGGGUAUCGAACAGGAUUAGAUACCCCAGUAC
rnacentral:rRNA from 1 species